AACUACUGUGUCCACCCACCAAUGUGACCCAAGCAAUAAGAAAAAUACAAGACAAGUUAAUUUAUGCACAAUAAUGAGGUUAAAAACAAAAUUGAGGAUAAAGCACAGGGAUAGGAGACAUGAAAGUAAGGAUAAGAAUUAAAGAAUAACACUAAGUAAAAGAACAAUGGGUCCAGCAAAAUAAUAAGCCACAGGACGUUGUGGUACCUCAUGACGUUGUGGUACGGGGAGGCCAACAGAACCCACGCCUCUGGGACUCCUCAGGCCGGUAAUAAAAGAUGCACCAAUGGAGAUGCUACAUACAGCCACACAACAUACUGAAGAUUGAUGCUGUUCUAUAAACUAAACUAAUAAUAUGUAUUUCAAGGUGCACCAAAUUUAUCAUGCAAGCACCAAUAAGAUAAAUUGUAG